AUGUGAAGAGGACGAAACACCAUAAGGUUGAAGAUGAAAAGGAGUAAGGAAAUAGAUUUCGAAACUAACUGCCAGGAAAAAAAAGUGUCAAAAAUUUCGAAACAAAAUUGCGUAUGAACUUGGUGAUUGACCCGAACUCUUUGAGUUCAAAUUUGUUCAGAAAAAUGUCCACUUAAACAGAAUGAGUCUAAAAACCCAAACGGAAAAGAAAAAAAAUUACAUGUGCUUUGAAAAAUUAUUCAACAGCUACGAGUAAAAUUAUUCAAUAUCGUAGCAGGAAAGUGAAAUUAUUUAAAUACGUCCCAUGAACCUUAUGCAGGCACUUUUCUUGGAAUAAACUGAGAAGAAAGAAAAAAAGAGAGCCCCACCUUCUAGAUAGUUUUCCUGGAAAAGCUUAAAAGAAAGAGAUAUCUACACACCACCAGGAAUGUGUGGAGACUUUAGCCCGUUUCAUUCCCCCUCUACACGUCAAUGAUAAGACAAAGGAGAUGAACUGCCAUCUUUUUCACCACCUUCUUCAUGCCAAGCGUUCAAGUUACUAGCUCUGCCUAGUGUACUUUCUGAUGAUGAUACAUUGUCAUAUGCUUGACGACUUAUAACUAAUUCAAUUCUGUCACCAGAAGAGGCAAUUAAAGGAACAAUCAGGCCAGCAUUGGGAUUUAGGAGAUAGACUGCACUCAUCUAGACCUAAUAUUGAUUGCUCAAUUUGACGCAACCAACUUGACUGUCCACAAGUUUGCAAAUCUUCUAAGACAUUGUGCCAACUCUCUUUUUCUCCUUCUGAUGGCACAGACUGGCUGCCAGAAUAGCUAUUUGAUCUCUGAACUUUAUGAUCCCAAAAAUGCUCAUCUUCAUUUCUUUUUCUACCAGACUGCUGAAUUGAAUUUCGAUAUGAAGCAGUUAUAUUACUAUCACUAUUAGAAUGAUCUACAUAAAAAUUAAAAAAGAUUAGACUUGCAGUUAUAUAUAAAUAAUUUAUAAAUUAAUGUAUUAUAGUAAAAUGAAACAAAAGAAUGGUAGUGCUGUUUAUCCAUAUACCAGUUAAUAAAAUUUUUCAAUUAACAUGAUCGA